CCAUCCUAGAAGCAGCAAUAAACAGAGUAAUUACAUCUCUCUCUACAGCAUCCAUCAUGGAACCAGCCCCUGGCAGUGCCAACAUCUAUUUCCCCAAGAGUAUUGCCUGGCUGUGAUAUUUCUGCUUGGAAAAUGGCUCUGUGGAGUUCAGUCACCAAGAUGCUUUAUUUGAUGUCGGCCAAGCAGGAAAUACCAGCACAAUUACCACUACAGUGUAAGUGCAUUAUUGGUUUUGGAAAAAGAACCAUAAAAGCCUCAGCAACCUACCCCAGCAGGAUCCUGUCCACAGCAACGUUGGUGGAAGCAGCAAUAAGGAGUUUCCAUGGAGUUGCCCUCAGACCCUCUGUAGCUUCACUGCUUUCAAAGAGCUGCACGAGGAACAAGAUGACCACAGACAGCAAGUAGCUCUUGCCAGCUCCAAAAACACCUGGGGUUUUGGAAGAAAAAGCCCAAGUUACAAGUCAUCAUCUGAGCCACGUGAAUCAGCGAUGCUGCUUGGUCUGGGUUCAGCGAGAACCUCUGGAUCAUCUCUUCAGCCACUCCCAUUGCCACUUGAGAGCUCACAGGGCCAGACAUCAUGGAGCACUUCACACUCAUGGCAGAAAGAAAUCUUGACUCUUUAAAUGUAGAGAAAAUGUGUUAAAUCCUGCUGAAGUCCUGGGCUACUGGAAUAUUCAUAAACCUUGAAGUGGCAUGGCAUUUGAGGAUACCUCACCAAAAGCUGGCAUUCCUCAUAAACAGCAAUCUUUUGACUCCUGAGUGCAACUGAUCAAAGGAGCAGAAAAAACAAAGUGACACAUUGUGAAGUUCUAUGACAAAGGCUUCAGGAGAAGCAGUUCUGCACUCUGCAUUUUCCAGCACAGUUCCUCCUACUGCUGUUUCCUCUGGAGAUGAACAACCUCCUCCUAAAGGAUCUGAUUUCUGUGACAAGGCCAGCAGAGGGCUGCCUGGUUUCAUGUCACCACUCCUAGCAGCCCAGAAGUGCUCUGAGCCAACAUCUGGGGAUUCCAUACAUCCAAUCUGUGUAACUCCUCCCUCGGUCUUUUGGUCCAAGGGAGAAAUUAUUCUGCUGGGAGAAAUACCUGUGAGACUUCCAGUGGCUUCAGACAGCCUGGUUUCAGGGUGACAUUCAUUAACACUGGUGUCCCCAGGCAGGAGAGCAGAGUGCUGCUUUUUCACCCAGGAUGUGCCACUGAUGGUGAGUGCUGCACAGCCAUCCAGAUCCUCCUCUUGCUUUGAGCCUUCAAAACUUGUCUGACUCUCACUGAUCUCUUUUAUGUUGUGUCCAUCCCCUAGAAGUUCCACUUGGGUUUUGGUCUGGUUUGCAGCAUCUUCUGCAGCUCUCCUGGCAUCACUGUCACAAAGCUGGGGUGGUGGACCCCCCUCUCCAUCAGAUUUGGAACAUCUGAUUUCCUUUUUGCUUUGUGUCUCUAUGUCACAGCAAGAAUGAGGCCUCCAAUGAGGGCUCAAGGCAGCACCCUGUGCUACAUCUCCUCCCUGGGAGCUGCCUGGGCUCCAUGAAGGUGUGUCUCCCUCAGAAAAUCCCUUCCCUUCUCUCUCACACACAUCUUCAUUGUCCAUGUCAUUAAAAUCAAAAGCCUCCAUUAGGUUAAAGCUAACCUCCAUCAGUUCCCCAUCAGGACUACAGCCUGUGCCCUGCAAACUCAACUGCUCCUUCCCAACUCCAGCUUCAGCCAAUGCCACAUCCCCAGAGAGCUCUGGGUCAUUAGACAUUCCCUCUGAAUUUUGCCUUGGUUGAAGCUCACUCUGCAUCUUCACAGAGCAAUUCUCCCUAAGCCUGUCAGUCCCUGAAUGCUCCCUGUAUCCAAAGGGAUGGCUUUCAAAGGUGGUUGGACUUGCUGAAGGUGAAAUGUCACCUGAGGAUGGGACAAACUGACUGUCACUCAUUCUACUUACAGUGGACUCAGGUAGGAAGUAACUACUUGUGUUGCAGUCAUCUUGUAAAUCUUGACUUAAAUAAUUUACCUUUUUGUCUUGUCUGUGUCCUGUGACUUCUUCACCACAAGG